rnacentral:snRNA from 1 species
GUGCUCGCUUCAGCAGCACAUAAACUAAAAUUGGAAUGAUACAGAGAAGAUUAGCAUGGGCCCUGUACAAGAAUGACACACAAAUUCGUGAAGUUGAGAGAGAGAGA